rnacentral:lncRNA from 1 species
CUUUGCUGAGAAUAAUAGCUGUCAAUCAAUUAUGUGCAAGAAGGACACCGCUGUGAUCACCUACUGUUGAUAGGCAGCCUGGAGAAAGUCAUGCCAACAAGCCAGAACUUAGCAUUCCUUUCUGUUAACCCCAAGUUUUUAGAUGAAACUUCACUUCCUUCACCAAUCGCAAAUCGGAGGAUUUUUGAAUCCACCUAUUAUCUGAGAAAGAAUAAAAGUAAAUGACUCAUUAGGACAAGGAAUGCAUGCAGCAAAAAAACAACUAAUGCGGCUGAGCUCCACUAGGAAUAGAAUCCCAGGAGACCUGGCAAGAAAUUGCACUCCCUCAAGAGUAAGUCUCAAAGGCUGGAAAGCAGUGAGGUAAGGGCCCUGAGCCGAAGCCAAUUAGUACUCGGUAAACAAAUCGGAUCAUUUUGCUUUCUGCCUAAUUUCAGGCCCACCUUCGGAGCAGCUCAGAUGAGAGUUCUUAAGAGAAGAAAAAGUUCAAAUUCCCAUAGCAAUUCAAUUUACAAAGUGGCUUCUAUUUGAUUUGUGGAGGAACGGCCUGUGUUUUGUUUUGUGUGAAAGCUUCUGAAUGGCAAUUCCAAAAAAAUGUGCUGAGUCAUGAAUCCCUAGGGAAAGAAGAUUUUGACAAGAACAGGCAAAAGCUGCGACAAUUAUGUGAUUAGGAAUAACAGAGGCUCAUUAUUCUUCCAAAUGAAGCCCUUUAAUGCAAACAUUAACCCUACACCUGUUCCCGGAACACUUGAUGCCUCCCUCAGGUACAGAGAAGCAAUACAUUUAAGAAUGACAACGACAAAAAUAAUAGCUAAUAUUUUAUUGGACAUCUACUACAUAUCAGGUAUAUAUAUUGGGAAUCUUAUUUAAUUCCCACAAUAGCCCUAUGAUGUGUUUUAUAAAUGAGGAAACUGAGGCUCUGAGAGGCUAAAUAAUUCGCUCACAGUCACCUGGCCACAGGGACUGAGAUAGGCAAUCUGGUUGUGGAAUCACAACCUUAACAAGUAUGUACACUGCAGUCCCAAGUAUUAUCCAUGUAUUCAUAGAGCUCUGAUCAUUUUAACUGAGUGCGAUUAAACUCCUUCCUCAAAGAGGGAUUUUACUGACAUCCUUCAUAUACAAUUGACUAUAUAGCAGACGGUCCCAAGAUAUUUUUUUCUUUUUGAGAUGGGGUCUCAUUCUGUCACCAAGACUGA